CGUAGGGUGCGAGCGUUGUCCGAAGUUACUGGGCGUAAAGAGCGCGUAGGCGGGCCCUUAAGUGGGGGGUGAAAGGUUGGGGCUCAACCCCAACACUGCCUUUCAUACUGGGGGCCUUGAGUGCGGGAGAGGCGAGUGGAAUGGUCGGUGUAGCGGUGAAAUGCGUAGAUAUCGAUCGGAACACCCAUGGCGAAGGCAGCUCGCUGGCCUGCAACUGACGCUGAGGCGCGAAAGCGUGGGGAGCAAACAGG
rnacentral:rRNA from 1 species